rnacentral:rRNA from 1 species
UACGUAGGUGGCAAGCGUUAUCCGGAAUUAUUGGGCGUAAAGAGCGCGCAGGUGGUUGAUUAAGUCUGAUGUGAAAGCCCACGGCUUAACCGUGGAGGGUCAUUGGAAACUGGUCGACUUGAGUGCAGAAGAGGGAAGUGGAAUUCCAUGUGUAGCGGUGAAAUGCGUAGAGAUAUGGAGGAACACCAGUGGCGAAGGCGGCUUCCUGGUCUGUAACUGACACUGAGGCGCGAAAGCGUGGGGAGCAAACAGGAUUAGAUACCCGCGUA